GCGUGAGUGAUGAAGGCCUUAGGGUUGUAAAGCUCUUUUGUCCGGGACGAUAAUGACGGUACCGGAAGAAUAAGCCCCGGCUAACUUCGUGCCAGCAGCCGCGGUAAUAC
rnacentral:rRNA from 1 species